rnacentral:rRNA from 1 species
AACGUAGGUUCCGAGCGUUAUCCGGAUUUACUGGGCGUAAAGCGCGUUCAGGCGGUUUGGCAAGUCGGGCAUGAAAUCUCUCGGCUCAACCGGGAGAGGUUGUCCGAUACUUCCAGACUUGAGGGCAGUAGAGGGUGGUGGAAUUCCGGGUGUAGUGGUGAAAUGCGUAGAUAUCGAGGAGGAACACCGGUGGCGAAGGCCGGGGUCCUGGGCCA